GAUGAACGCUGACAGCAUGCUUAACACAUGCAAGUCAACUGUGGCGGACGGGUGAGUAACGCGUAAAGACCUUGCCUCACAGAUAGGGACACCAUUUGGAAACGAAUGCUAAUACCUGAUACUGUGAGAGAGCUUUGCGUCCCAUUAGCUAGUUGGAGAGGUAACGGCUCACCAAGGCGAUGAUGGGUAGCCGGCCUGAGAGGGUGAUCGGCCACAAGGGGAAUGGGACACAGCCCUUACGCCUACGGGAGGCAGGAGUUGGGAAUAAUGGACAAAGGACCAAAGUCUGAUCCAGCAAUUCUGUGUGCACGAUGAAGUUUUCGGAAUGUAAAGUGGUUUCAGUUGGGAAGCAGUACCAACAGAAGAAGUGACGGCUAAAUACGUGCCAGCAGCCGCGGUAAUUC
rnacentral:rRNA from 1 species